AGACUUACCUGGCAGGGGAUACACCAUGAUCAAGCAGGUAGUUUUCCCAGGGUGAGGCUCAUCCCUUGCAUUCUGGGCCAUUUGUACUUAUAUGAGUACAAAACACCUUGCACC
rnacentral:snRNA from 12 species